rnacentral:lncRNA from 1 species
AUGAGGAGAGAGAGGAGGAAGCAUGGUGGACAGCCUUUGAGUGAAGAUCAACAUGAAGAACAUGAUCUUCUGUAUUCUGAGAACCUAGGAGCUGUUACAUAUUGCUACAUAUUGAUUACUGGGGGUCCUGCUGAGUUUAAUAUGCCACAUUUAUAAAGGGCAGCAUAUAGAAAUCUGCUGAUUUUUUUCCUCUCUUACAACUCCAGUUUCCAGGGAAGAAUAAGGUAUAAUUCAGUUAAGGAGAUAGCAAGUAACUAGAACAGAGA